rnacentral:lncRNA from 1 species
AGGCUAAUGAAUGAGAUUCUUCUAUCACCUCAUGAAGAUGUCCCCAGUGGGAGGAAGAGUGGAACAAGCUGUCACAAACAUGAAUGUCCUCAUCGGGCUCAGGUUCUUAAAAGUCUGGUUUCCCUUCCUGAGGUGAUGCAGGCGUUUGGCAUCUUCACUGUGGUGAUAGUGUCACAGGUGUUUGUGUAUCUCCAAAGACAACAAACUGCACAGUAAGAAUGUGGAGCUCUGUGUGAUGGUCCUACCUCAGUGAAACUGUUAGGAAUAGAAAGCAGCUAUUUCCUCACUGAGCCAAAAUCACAACCCACUGAACACAUUGUUGCUUUGGGCAGCCUUUAGGAAAGCAGGCUUUCAGCUAGACUGUAACUCUUCCUUUGCUCCUUAAAAGCUGCUAAUACUUUCCCUUAAUCAUCCAUUGUGUUACUAACUCUGAUAAAUGUCCCUCACCACGUUUUCUUGGCCUUACUCUCUCUGCUCAGCGAAAGGCAAAGAGGCACAGGAGUCUGACAUUGGGGAGCAUGGUGCCGCUACAAAUGUCUCAGUGACUUUGAUGUGCCCCAUUCACCCUGACGGAUGAUCACAGGGACAACUCCAACUCAGAGCACACAAAUUCAGGACUUCCUUUUGCUGCACUUCCCACAAUGUCCCUUUUCACUGCACUUCCCACAAUGUCCAUGGCAUUAAGCAGAAACAUGGAUGACCACUUUGUCCACUGCUGGCAUGGGCGCCAUUUCCUCAGUGAUGCUAUGCCUCCUUCUGGAGGCUUCUAGUAAUAUAUAGGUUAAUUCUCAGUAUGUUGUUCUAGUUAUACCCAAAGUUUUACCAUGCUGAUAAACGU